AUGCGAUAAGUAGUGUGAAUUGCAGACUUUAGUGAAUCAUCGAAUCUUUGAACGCACAUUGCGCCCCUUGGUAUUCCAUUGGGCAUGCCUGUUCGAGCGUCAUUUAACCCCUCAAGCACUGCUUGGUGUUGGGCGUUUUGUCUACGGACUCGCCCCAAAUCUAUUGGCAGCAGCCUUACCAGCUUCUUGCGCAGUACAAUGCGCUUCGAGAAGCCUGUGUAGUGGUGUGCAAUCCAGUAAGCAACUCUUUAUUUUGACCUCGAAUCAGGUAGGGAUACCCGCUGAACUUAA
rnacentral:misc_RNA from 1 species